UUCCGUAGGGUGACUGCGGAAGGAUCAUUA
rnacentral:rRNA from 1 species